CUUGAACCGCAUGGYUCAAGGAUGAAAGACGGUUUCGGCUGUCACUUACAGAUGGACCCGCGGCGCAUUAGCUAGUUGGUGAGGUAACGGCUCACCAAGGCGACGAUGCGUAGCCGACCUGAGAGGGUGAUCGGCCACACUGGGACUGAGACACGGCCCAGACUCCUACGGGAGGCAGCAGUAGGGAAUCUUCCGCAAUGGACGAAAGUCUGACGGAGCAACGCCGCGUGAGUGAUGAAGGUUUUCGGAUCGUAAAGCUCUGUUGUUAGGGAAGAACAAGUGCUAGAGUAACUGCUUGCACCUUGACGGUACCUAACCGGAAAGCCACGGCUAACUACGUGCCAGCAGCCGCGGUAAUACGUAGGUGGCAAGCGUUGUCCGGAAUUAUUGGGCGUAAAGGGCUCGCAGGCGGUUUCUUAAGUCUGAUGUGAAAGCCCCCCGGCUCAACCGGGGAGGGUCAUUGGAAACUGGGAAACUUGAGUGCAGAAGAGGAGAGUGGAAUUCCACGUGUAGCGGUGAAAUGCGUAGAGAUGUGGAGGAACACCAGUGGCGAAGGCGACUCUCUGGUCUGUAACUGACGCUGAGGAGCGAAAGCGUGGGGAGCGAACAGGAUUAGAUACCCUGGUAGUCCACGCCGUAAACGAUGAGUGCUAAGUGUUAGGGGGUUUCCGCCCCUUAGUGCUGCAGCUAACGCAUUAAGCACUCCGCCUGGGGAGUACGGUCGCAAGACUGAAACUCAAAGGAAUUGACGGGGGCCCGCACAAGCGGUGGAGCAUGUGGUUUAAUUCGAAGCAACGCGAAGAACCUUACCAGGUCUUGACAUCCUCUGACAACCCUAGAGAUAGGGCUUUCCCUUCGGGGACAGAGUGACAGGUGGUGCAUGGUUGUCGUCAGCUCGUGUCGUGAGAUGUUGGGUUAAGUCCCGCAACGAGCGCAACCCUUGAUCUUAGUUGCCAGCAUUCAGUUGGGCACUCUAAGGUGACUGCCGGUGACAAACCGGAGGAAGGUGGGGAUGACGUCAAAUCAUCAUGCCCCUUAUGACCUGGGCUACACACGUGCUACAAUGGACAGAACAAAGGGCUGCGAGACCGCAAGGUUUAGCCAAUCCCACAAAUCUGUUCUCAGUUCGGAUCGCAGUCUGCAACUCGACUGCGUGAAGCUGGAAUCGCUAGUAAUCGCGGAUCAGCAUGCCGC
rnacentral:rRNA from 1 species